CCCUUAGAUGUUCUGGGCUGCACACGUGCUACACUGGCAGGUUCAGCGAGCUUCAUGCCCUGAUCUGAAAGGAAUGGGAAAUCUUUUCAAAACCUGCCGUGCUUGGGAUAGAUGUUUGCAAUUAUUCAUCUUCAACGAGGAUUGCCUGGUAAGCGCACGUCAUCAGCGUGCAUUGAAUACGACCCUGUAUUCUGUACACACCGCCCGUCGCUCCUACCGAUUGAAGUUUUCGGUGAGUUGACAGGAGGAUUUUUUUGAAACUGGUUCGCCAGUGGAUUUUAGAUCCAAAUGCCAACGAAUCGAUGGCUUUAGAGGAAGGAGAAGUCGUAACA
rnacentral:rRNA from 1 species